GUGCCAGCAGCCGCGGUAAUACGUAGGGUGCGAGCGUUGUCCGGAAUUACUGGGCGUAAAGAGCUCGUAGGUGGUUUGUCGCGUUGUUCGUGAAAACUCACAGCUUAACUGUGGGCGUGCGGGCGAUACGGGCAGACUAGAGUACUGCAGGGGAGACUGGAAUUCCUGGUGUAGCGGUGGAAUGCGCAGAUAUCAGGAGGAACACCGGUGGCGAAGGCGGGUCUCUGGGCAGUAACUGACGCUGAGGAGCGAAAGCGUGGGGAGCGAACAGGAUUAGAUACCCUGGUAGUCCACGCCGUAAACGGUGGGUACUAGGUGUGGGUUCCUUCCUUGGGAUCCGUGCCGUAGCUAACGCAUUAAGUACCCCGCCUGGGGAGUACGGCCGCAAGGCUAAAACUCAAAGGAAUUGACGGGGGCCCGCACAAGCGGCGGAGCAUGUGGAUUAAUUCGAUGCAACGCGAAGAACCUUACCUGGGUUUGACAUGCACAGGACGCCGGCNAGAGAU
rnacentral:rRNA from 1 species